UGAAAUGUGCUAUACAAAGAAAUUUGAUUUGAUUUAUAAGAUUUAAUGUGAUGUGCUUUGCUGCGACAUCAAGUGUCAAUAAUUGGAACUAAUGUAAAUAAAUGUAAAAAGUAUAAAACAUAAAAUUGCCUGACGUGUAGCCUUUUGAAUGGUUUGUUCUGUUUUUCAGAUGAAGGGGAUGAUGGAACGAGCAGGGAACAGCCAUCUGCUGACUCUCUUGUCGUACCCAAACGCAGGUCACUUGAUCGAACCGCCAUACAUGCCUCAUGCCAGAGUGAGUCUCUUCAGAGAAAUACAGUCACGUCAGAAGCUGAUGGUUCUUUGGGGAGGACAGACCCUGGAACAUUCUCGGGCUCAGGAGGACGCCUGGAGGAAACUGUUGGUCUUUCUGAGGAAGAAUCUGUAUAGCGGUGUGAAGAGCGGAUCUUCGUCACUUUCCAACCUUUAACAAAUGACCAGCGUUUGUUGAAUUGAACAGUUGAAGUACAUAUUUUCUCCUCUGGCAAAUAAUGGAAAUUAUUUUAGGAGCUAAAUAGAUGCUCAAGUGAAAAAACUUUUGAUUGUUGAUUAUGAAUGAACCGGUUUUAUACAACUUGGAUCCAUUAGUCAAAAUUUUGUUUUACAUAAUACAUACUGUAAAAUAAGAGUUUUAAUAAAAAUAAAGAACAAAUCAAGCCUCCUUUUAGGCGAGCUCAUAUCGUGGCAGUGAUAGCAGCACUUAGAGUGUCAGCUGCCAUAACCUGCCCCGGCAGCGGCUGAACCUGCCACAGCUUCUGUGUAGCAAACAACUGAAUGAUUUUAUUUUGAACAAAAAUAAAUAAAUAAAUAAAAGGCUACAACGUAAUACAGCCACCCAACACUGAUUCGGUGACAUAUACCACAGCUUCUGUGUCAGGAAGCUGUGGUAUAUGUCACCAUAUACCAGGGGAAAAAAAAUAACCGAUGGAGCAGGCUGCUAUAGGGAAAAAAUGUUCUUUUGCAACAGACAUUUUCCAUAUUCAUUUCUACUUCAAUAUGAUAAUGACCCUGAGGAGGGCUGAUGCCUGAAUGCUACAAUUUCUCCCUAUUGGUUGGUUAGCAUCGAGUUAUAACAGCCUCACAAUAUCAAAGUAUCUUGGCAUACUGAGGUUAAUUAAAACUAGGUUAAGUGUAUGAAGAAACUUAACCUGCAGACCCGUUGGAACCUAAAGAACCAGAAAUCAGUGUCUCUUCAUCCUCAAUCAUCUCCUGCGGCUGAUAUGGUGCAAAACAUUUUGCUAUGAUUGAUUAAGUUUUUUAAUGUCAUUUUAGUUGACUGUUGUGGUUUGAUCAUUUGCUUAAGAUGUUGAGUUUGGAUGAUAUUUAAUAAAUAAUGAAAAUGGAAAAGUCACAACAUACCGAGCCUCCAUGCAGUUAUAACAUGAAGUUGGAUGAUUUUUAUAAUACUCAUAAAAUUCACAAUAAAAUUGAUAAAAUAACCAUUUCUAAAACCAACAUAAGUUUGUUUUGAACAAAGAUAAUUGGCAUUUUGAAGCAAACUUACCAGCUAACUGGUG